rnacentral:lncRNA from 1 species
GUCUUGGUGCUACAAGUUUCCCGCCCUGGUUGCUCAUUGGUUAUGGUGUUGGGCUGCUGAGCACGCGGUCGCGGGAUCGAAUCCCGGCCACGGCGGCCGCAUUUCGAUGGGGGCGAAAUGCA